rnacentral:pre_miRNA from 1 species
AUGUAGGGCAAUGUCUUUAAGUAGGGGUAAAUUACUCUUAAAGAAAAAAAAGGAAUCCUAGAUAGUUUUCCCUUCAAGUCAAGCAUCUUGU